GAUGAAUGCUGGCGGCGUGCCUAACACAUGCAAGUCGAGCGGCAGCGCGAGUAGUUUACUACUUGGCGGCGAGCGGCGGACGGCUGAGUAACGCGUAGGAACGUGCCCCAAAGUGAGGAAUAACUGCCCGAAAGGGUGGCUAAUACCGCAUAUGGUCUUCGGAUUAAAGUCUUCGGACGCUUUGGGAGCGGCCUGCGUCGGAUUAGGUUGUUGGUAGGGUAAUGGCCUACCAAGCCGACGAUCCGUAGCUGGUCUGAGAGGAUGAUCAGCCAGACUGGAACUGAGACACGGUCCAGACUCCUACGGGAGGCAGCAGUGAGGAAUCUUCCACAAUGGGGGCAACCCUGAUGGAGCAACGCCGCGUGCAGGAUGAAGGCCUUCGGGUUGUAAACUGCUUUUAUGAGUGAAGAAUAUGACGGUAACUCAUGAAUAAGCACCGGCUAACUACGUGCCAGCCGCCGCGGUAACAC
rnacentral:rRNA from 1 species